GUAGAGCUGCCGCCGCCGCUGCCGCCGUUGCAGCUGCCGCUGCCGCCACAGCCGCCGCUGCAGCCGGAGCAUCCGGGAGCCGCCACUGCCGCCGCCGCUGCCGCUGCUACCGCCACUAGCGCUGCUUCCACUGCUUCUACCUCCCCUCCCAGGACCCCGAGACACCCCGGGCGCGAGCGGCAGCGCUGCUUGCUUGCUCCCCCUCUCCCCCAGCCCUUCCCCUCCUUGCAGCCCUCGCCCGCACCUUCUCCGACACCCCGGCAUCCCUGCACCACCUGCUCGGGCAGCCCCGGCGGGCUCUGGGACUUGCUGUGCGCGCCGAGAGGAAGGCAAGCUCCAAACCCCUGCCUGGAAGACGGGCUGUCGCGGCUGCACCACCAGCAGGAGGAGGAGGAGAAGAAACUAUUUCGCCCACCGAUACCCCAUUCUGCGGGUGCUUUGCCGCUGCCGCUUCUGCUGCCGCCGAUCCGAGUCCGCGGGUUCGAACACCGCAGCGGUGGGGACGCCCUUUAGAGAAGGGACCAUGAUUUGGAAACGCAGCGCCGUUCUCCG
rnacentral:sRNA from 1 species